ACGGAAGGCAGCAGUGGGGAAUAUUGGACAAUGGGGGAAACCCUGAUCCAGCGACGCCGCGUGAGUGAAGAAGUAUUUCGGUACGUAAAGCUCUAUCAGCAAGGAAGAAAAUGACGGUACUUGACUAAGAAGCCCCGGCUAACUACGUGCCAGCAGCCGCGGUAAUACGUAGGGGGCAAGCGUUAUCCGGAUUUACUGGGUGUAAAGGGAGCGUAGACGGCAUAGCAAGUCUGAAGUGAAAUGCAUGGGCUCAACCCAUGAACUGCUUUGGAAACUGUUAAGCUAGAGUGCAGGAGAGGUAAGUGGAAUUCCUAGUGUAGCGGUGAAAUGCGUAGAUAUUAGGAGGAACACCAGUGGCGAAGGCGGCUUACUGGACUGUAACUGACGUUGAGGCUCGAAAGCGUGGGGAGCAAACAGGAUUAGAUACCCUGGUA
rnacentral:rRNA from 1 species